AGUGAACGCUGGCGGUAGGCCUAACACAUGCAAGUCGAACGGCAGCACAGUAAGAGCUUGCUCUUACGGGUGGCGAGUGGCGGACGGGUGAGGAAUACAUCGGAAUCUACUUUUUCGUGGGGGAUAACGUAGGGAAACUUACGCUAAUACCGCAUACGACCUACGGGUGAAAGCAGGGGAUCUUCGGACCUUGCGCGAUUGAAUGAGCCGAUGUCGGAUUAGCUAGUUGGCGGGGUAAAGGCCCACCAAGGCGACGAUCCGUAGCUGGUCUGAGAGGAUGAUCAGCCACACUGGAACUGAGACACGGUCCAGACACCUACGGGAGGCAGCAGUGGGGAAUAUUGGAAAAUGGGCGCAAGCCUGAUCCAGCCAUACCGCGUGGGUGAAGAAGGCCUUCGGGUUGUAAAGCCCUUUUGUUGGGAAAGAAAAGCAGCAGGUUAAUACCCCGCUGUUCUGACGGUACCCAAAGAAUAAGCACCGGCUAACUUCGU
rnacentral:rRNA from 1 species